UCCGGGUUGGACCCGGCGGUCACCAACAUGUCAAGCCCAGGUAAGGUUCUUCGCGUUGCGUCGAAUUAAACCACAUGCUCCGCUGCUUGUGCGGGCCCCCGUCAAUUCCUUUGAGUUUUAGCCUUGCGGCCGUACUCCCCAGGCGGGGCACUUAAUGCGUUAGCGGCGGCACGGGAGGAGUCGACACCUCCCACACCUAGUGCCCAUCGUUUACGGCGUGGACUAC
rnacentral:misc_RNA from 1 species